rnacentral:rRNA from 1 species
AUUGAACGCUGGCGGCAUGCUUUACACAUGCAAGUCGAACGGCAGCGGGGAGGAGCUUGCUUCUCUGCCGGCGAGUGGCGAACGGGUGAGUAAUACAUCGGAACGUGUCGAGAAGAGGGGGAUAACCACCCGAAAGGGUGGCUAAUACCGCAUAAAUUCUGAGGAAGAAAGCUGGGGACCUAGGAAUAGGCCUAGCGCUUUUUGAGCGGCCGAUGUCGGAUUAGCUAGUUGGUGAGGUAAAGGCUCACCAAGGCGAAGAUCUGUAGCGGGUCUGAGAGGAUGAUCCGCCACACUGGGACGGAGACACGGCCCAGACUCCUACGGGAGGCAGCAGUGGGGAAUUUUGGACAAUGGGGGCAACCCUGAUCCAGCCAUGCCGCGUGUAUGAAGAAGGCCUUAGGGUUGUAAAGUACUUUUGUUAGGGAAGAAAAGUCAGCUGCGAAUAAUGGCUGAUACUGACGGUACCUAAAGAAUAAGCACCGGCUAACUACGUG